CCUACGGGAGGCAGCAGUGGGGAAUAUUGCACAAUGGGGGAAACCCUGAUGCAGCCAUGCCGCGUGUGUGAAGAAGGCCUUCGGGUUGUAAAGCACUUUCAGCGAGGAGGAAAGGUUGGUAGCUAAUAACUGCCAGCUGUGACGUUACUCGCAGAAGAAGCACCGGCUAACUCCGUGCCAGCAGCCGCGGUAAUACGGAGGGUGCAAGCGUUAAUCGGAAUUACUGGGCGUAAAGCGCACGCAGGCGGUUGGAUAAGUUAGAUGUGAAAGCCCCGGGCUCAACCUGGGAAUUGCAUUUAAAACUGUCCAGCUAGAGUCUUGUAGAGGGGGGUAGAAUUCCAGGUGUAGCGGUGAAAUGCGUAGAGAUCUGGAGGAAUACCGGUGGCGAAGGCGGCCCCCUGGACAAAGACUGACGCUCAGGUGCGAAAGCGUGGGGAGCA
rnacentral:rRNA from 2 species